GGGUAAAAAGGCUUUCUGUUUUCUGGUUUGGCCCUGGUUAGUCUUAAACUGGAGGGCUGAUGUGCCCCGCAAGCUCAGUGCUGCUCCACCGCCAGGUUAGAAAGUCCCGUUGUAACUGGAGACUGGGUUGCUGGUCCAAAUGUUUUCUGGGAAGUCCUGGGGUCUCUUCACUGUGCUCUCCCAGGGCCUGGUGUGCCUAGCUAGUGUGGCAUUUCUGUCUGGUUUUGUUUGUUAAUAUGGUGUAUCACAUUGAUGGAUUUCCGUAUAUUGAACCACCCCUGCAUACCUAGGAUGAAGCCUAUUUGGUCAUGGUGGAUGAUAUCUUUGAUGUGUUUUGGUGAGCCCUGAUUACGUGAUCCAUGUGGAUCUUCCAAUUCUCUUAGCAUCAAGGAAAAAUAUCUGACAGAAGCCAUAUGAAGAAGAAAUUAUUUGUCUCACAUUUUGAAGGUGUACUCCAUCAUACCAGGGAGGGGAGAGUAGGAGCAUUGAGAGGUGGCAGGUGUCACUGCAUCCAACUUCAGGAAGCAGAGAUAGAAGAAUGCUCUUUCUUACUUUUGUUUCUCAGUCUAGGAAGCCCUUGCCAAAAAGAAGGAAGAACCCUCCUUCUUCUUACCUCAGUUAAACUUUCAGGAUCUGCCCCGUACAUCCAUGUCUCCAUAGAGAUUCUGAAUCCAAUCAAGUCGACAAUGAAACUUAACCAUUGCUCUAUCAAAGGCGUGGUCAAUUUCCUAGAAGGAGGCAUUUCUAUUUAACAAGUCCUUGUGACAGAAGCUGCCUCCUCAAACAUUCAUAUAUCCCUUGAAAAGUCCCCACCAAUGGCCAGUGGUUUAUGCCCUGUCCUCACUGCUACUUCUUCACUUUCUGUCCCCAUCACUGGCCAUGUCUUCACUUCCUGGUAUUAGAUAAUCAAAGAUUAUUUUCUCAUUUAAAAAAUAUUCCCCAGCACAUUUCUCAAGUCAAACUUACUCUAGCAAAUUAGUUCUUAUCACCACAAAUAAUACUUAGGAAGCAAAACACAGACAGAGACUCUGUGCAGAUACUCAUGCACAGACAAGAAAUAAACAUGUGUGUGUCCACAUAGAUACACAUACAGAUAAGAGAAAUGAGAAUACAAUGGUGUUUCCAUAUCACCCAGAAAAUGAUCACACCAGAUAACAGGCUGUGAGGAUCUCCCAUGCCCAGUCUCACUGUAUCAAAGAUAUGAGGAUUAGAGCAAGGCAAAUAUGAGAAGGCACAGCACCAGCAAGAAGCAAUUUGGAAAAAAGGUCUCUGGGGCUGUGUCUUUUCCAGGUACAGCCAUCACAGCUUAGCAAAACAGUGGUAUGUCUGCUAAAAUCUCACCUGCCCACUGUAGCUUCUCCUUCAUGUCAUCUUGAAUGGCCAGCCUGCUAACAGGAACUCAGCAAUUGUUCAUAGCUUAUCAUAUAGUGAAACAAACUGUUAAGUGUAGGGGCCCAUCAAAUACACCUGUAUAAGUCACAGUUGUCUCAAGGUGUAGAACAGUUACAUCCUGGCAGACAGGUUACUUAUGGACAACCUGCUUUUGAAUUGUAAUAUCAUUUGUGUACAGAUUUUAUUUUAUGUUAAUUUUUGAAAUGGGGAUUUUCUGUAUAGGUUUGUAUUUCCUGGAACUUGAUCUAUAGAUCAGGCUGGACAUAAGGUCAUAGAGUUCUAGCUGCCUCUGCCUCUAGAGUGCUGGGAUUAGAAGCUUGGAGCACCAAUGCUCAGCUGUGUGUAGACUGAAUUACCUUAGCACUUUAAAAAGUACAAAUAAGCUAAGAAUGUUAUAAAACUGAGUUUGAUCCCAAGAACCCACAAGAAGGUGACAGAAAAAUUCUCUCUCUCUCUCUCUCUCUCUCUCUCUC